CAACCCUCAAGCCCCUGCGGCUUGGCGUUGGGGAUCGGCCCCCGCCCCGGCGGCCGGCCCCGAAAUGCAGUGGCGGUCACGCCGCGGCUUCCUCUGCGUAGUAGCAACACCUCGCACCGGGACGCGGCGCGGCCACGCCGUACACCAGACGAAUCUUCGCAAGG
rnacentral:misc_RNA from 1 species